ensembl:snRNA U2 U2 spliceosomal RNA
AUUAAAUCCCAGUCUUUUGGCUAAGAUCAAAUAUAAUAUCUGUUCUUAUCAGUUGAAUAUUUCAUAAUUUCUCUAUCUGAGGACUAUGGAUUUUUUUUUUUUGCCAAGGAUCUUAUUCCAGAAUAGGAGAAUAGAAUAAGAGCUCACUCUAUCCAUCUCACUAAUCAAUUUGAUUUUGUAGUAAUUCUGGGAAUGAUGCACUUUUC